rnacentral:lncRNA from 1 species
UGCGCAGCCACUUCGCCCGCAGAGUCCUCUCCCGGGCCAGCUUGGGGCCUCGCCCAGUCGGGCACACGUGACCGCCCCGCCCCCGUCCUGCCUGGCUUCUUCCGCCCCCAACCCCCCCGCCACCACUCCACCCCCGACCCAGUGUCUCUUGCCUUCUCGAGCCCGGUCCUCCGGGCAGAGCAGUUGUUUCGCCACAGCUUGCGGGAUGCAUUCCUCCCCCACGCCCCGGGCGCCAUGGAAACCGCCCGGUUAACCCCCACCCUUUGCACUGCCCCUCAUAUUCAUUUGCCACCCGCUAUCAGCGGACCCUGCAAGAAGAUCCGCCUUCCCGAAGUAAUGCCCAAAAUAGAGCCUCUCCGGUGCCUGUCCGCAUGCCCUGCGCGCGUGCACCAAAGCCCGGCGCCACCUAAGUGUUCUGGGGAAUUCAAGAGGGAUUCCCCAACUUUCUCCCCCUUGGCUUAGGCUCCCAGCCCUUUGCUGAACUAAAGAGAGAUUUGUAGAUUUCCCGGGCUGGUUGCGCUCCUGGGUUAAAGGGGAGUUACAGAAAACUCGCUUUACUCGCUUCUUUCCCUGCGGACGUGGUUUUGUCUUGGGGAGGUUAGAUUUGAACCUGUUAUGUGGGGCUAUUUUUCCUGAUGGAUUCUGGGCGAAGACCCUAGGGUGCGGGGGAGGGAAAGGAGAGUUUGAAGAAGCCGAAGAAGCUGUCCGCGGUUGUGUGAUGGAACGCUUAGCACAGAGCUGGCUCCGGGCUUGGUCUUGGAAGCGGUCUUUGAACUCAAGCAGCCCUAGUCUGCCACCUGCCGGUCCUAGCCCAUUUCAAAGGGCAAACCCUCGACUCGUUGCACUGACCUCUGUCCUUGGCGAGGGAUCCUGGUAAGGAGCCCAAAUUCUCCCUGAGUUCAAACACCAGCUUAGCUACAAUGAGGUGCCACUGUAGACCAAGGAACUCCACCUCUCUGCGCUUCAGUUUCUUCAUCUGUAAAAUGGAAAUGAUGAAAUAAUAGUACCUACCUCACCGUGUUGUUCUGAGACUUGAAUGAAUUAAUACACGAAUGCACUUAGAAAAUUCCUGCCACAUAGUAAGCAUUCCGCGAAUGCUGGCUAUCCUAGCAAAAAGCUAACAUUUGUUGUACAGUGCUAAACAAAUUGAAUGCAUUAGCUCAUUUAUGCAUCACAAGAAUUCUGUGAUAAAGUUACUAUUGCUGGCCUAAAUUUUAUAGACAAGAAAACCCAGACUCAGAGAAGUGAAGUAACUUCUUUCUGAAGGUCCCAGCUGGCAAGAAGAGCCAUAAUUCUCGUUCAAGUCUGUAAUCAUUCAAGCUGUAGCCUAGCUAUUCAAGCACAGUCUGUGGUUAGCAGCGUGGGCACCUGUGGGAGCUUUUUAGAAGGCCAGAAUCCCCUCCAGUGUUAAGGCCUUAAAAAACAAAACGGCAACCACAAAACAACCAAGAAGGUUGUCAGGCCCAACCUAGACCCACUGAAUUGAAAGCUGCAUUUUAACAAGAUGCCCAGGAGAUUCAUUUGUUUACACAUUAAAUUUUGAGAGCUACUGGGCAUCACUGCUUCUUUAUUUUUUUUUUCUUUGUUAAACUUCAGACCAGAAAAUGAAUAACUUGAAGCUCUGGGAAGUGGCUCUCCAUUUUGUCUGCACAUUAGAAUCAUAUGAAGAAACUCUUAAUAUCCCAAGUGUUCGGGCAACACCCCAUUUAGCGAUCUCCGAGGGUGGACCUGAACAUCUGCAUGUCACAAGCUCCGCUGGUCAUCCAAACGUGCAGCCAAGUUAGAACCACUGAUUCCCAGGAGAGAACUAGAUUCAAAUGAUCACUCCCUGCUUGAAGGCACCUACUUUUUGGUAGAAACUAUAGAGUCUUGGAUUAUAAUGGAAUAUUUGGAGAGGGAGUUCAGACUCAGAUCUAAGAAUUUCUACAGUAAUUUAACAUCUCGUAUUGUCACUAUUCCUCCUGUGUUUCCCAUCAUUCUCCAGGGAGCACAGAACUCUGUUCUUUUAGAAGGCCUUCUGAGACCUCUCACUGCUUCUUUUCCCUCGGUCAUCAUGGGCCUCUUCCAAAACUCUUCAUAAUAUAUUCUUAACUUCAUUUUACAGAUAAGGAAACUGAGGCCUGGAGAGGCGGGUGUGUUACUCAGCGUCCUAUAGUGAAAUAGCAUCAGAACAAGCAGCAAUAAAAUGGGUGCUCCUUCCACGUGGCCUUUCCCAUGAGCUCUUCUGGGGCAGCCCUUCAGCUUGAUUUCUAGCUGUCUCAGGACUUGUGGAUAUUUUUGUAUAUUUUGGAGUGUUUAGUGAGAUAAACUAUGUAACACACGCUCUCAAUACGUAUCUGUAGAAUUGAGUUGUACUGCAUAUCACCAUGAAAUUUUACAAAACUGGAGACAAAGAGGAGAUCCAACAGGAUUUCAGAGAUUUUAAAAAAUCAGAAAAAGUUAAAAAAAAAAAACCAGAUACAAAAUAUCAACACAGUUGCCUCAAGCCUGGAAAUUUGAAGUCAGUGGAACAAUGCCUUCUGAAGAAAAACCGUUUCUUACCUAGAAUGCUAUAUCCAAACUACCAAAAAAUCAGUUUGAGAAGAGAGUGAAACAACAAAUGAUACUGCCUUAUCUUCUCUCUCAGGAAGCUGCUGAAGGAUGUGCUCCACCAAAACAAGGAAGGAAACCUAGAGAGGGGAAGAGGUUAAGGCUGAGGAAACCGGGAAUCCGCCACAAAAGGCAAACAAUGGGAAUCACCCAGCUAAAGGAAACUCCUGGGUAGACAGCUAUCUACCAGGCAUAAAAAGCAGUGUACUCGGCUGGUCGUGGUGGCUCAUGCCUGUAAUCCCAGCACUUUGGGAGGCUGAGGCGGGUGGAUCACCUGAGGUCAGGAGUUCUAGAUCGGCCUGGCCAACAUGGUGAAACCCCAUCUCUACUAAAAAUACAAAAAUUAGCCGGGCGUGGUGGCAGGCACCUGUAAUCCCAGUUACUCAGGAGGCUGAGGCAGGAGAAUCGCUUGAACCCAGGAGGCAGAGGUUGCAAUGAGCCGAGAUCGUGCCAUCGCACUCCAGCUGGGGGGACAAGAGCAAGACUUUGUCCCCCCAAAAAAAAGAAAAAAGAAAAAAAAAGAAAGCAGCAUACUCAGGCUGAAGCUGCUUUGAAGACUCCAAGGAAGAGUUCUUCAAGAAAGUCACACUGAAAGAAUCAUGUUUGAAAAUAUUGAGAGGUUUACACAAUAGGGGGAAGAUUAGGGGUUGGACUAAUGAUAAGUACCAUAAAUAUAACUAAGUAAAUGGGGAAAAGGAAGCAUUAUUAACUCCAGUGGAAUAAACAAACUAUGGAGGAAAAGGAAAAAAUAAUCAUGAUAUACCCUAAGUGAUUUGAUUUGCAUAGCAUGAACACAAUCCUAAUAAAGUGAACACUGGGAGUUGAUGUAUCUAAAGCUAUGAUAUAACACAGUUAGCAGGAUGGGGGAGUGGGAAGCGGGCACCUGUGCAGGGUUGAGAUGAGGGUGGGGUAAACAGUUAAACAAGGAGAAUGGGGCCGGGCACGGUGGCUCACACCUGUAAUCCCAGCCCUUUGGGAUGCCGACGAUGGUGGAUUGCUUGAGCUCGGGAGUUCGAGACCAGGCUGGGGAACAUAGCUAGACCCUGUCUCUAUCAAAAGCAGAAACAAAAACCAAAAACUAAAAACAAGGAGAGCUGGUUUUCUUCCCUGGGGUUUUGGCAGAAGCACAUUCCCUUCAAGGACAAACUUGGAGAAUCUCUGAGCAGACCCCGGAGGAGAAGGAAUCUAGACUCCAAUCAUGCGAUUUGUCUGCCGUAUAGAAAAGGCUAUGGCAUGCAAAUGCCUAACAUGGAAAAAGUCCGGAAGUGUUAAUAAACCCGUGGCACUUACAGCUAUGGUGGUUAAGUACCAAAAGAAUUGAGAAGAGUUGGAAGUACUUGCCUCUGGAGCGCAGGAAAGGGGGGUACACAACUGAUAUGUUUCAUACAUGAUUAUUUUAUUGUUUGAACUAUGUAUAACUAAUAUUUUUUCUUUUUUCUUUUUUUUGAGAAGGAGUCUUGCUCUGUCGCCCAGGCUGGAGUGCGGUGGUGCGAUCUUGGCUUAUUGCAACCUCUGCCUCCCAGGUUCAAGCGAUUCUCCUGCCUCAGCCUCCCGAGUAGCUGAGACUACAGGCGCACGCUACCAUGCCUGGCUAAUUUUUUGUAUUUCGUUGUAGAGACGGGGUUUCACUGUAUUAGCCAGGAUGGUCUUGAUCUCCUGACCUCGUGAUCUGCCUGCCUACCUCAGCCUCCCAAAGUGCUGGGAUUACAGGCGUGAGCCACUGUGCCCAGCCAACUAAUUUUUUUGAACUUAAAAAAAAUCCUAAAAUUAAAAAAUGGAAUCAAAUUUAACCGAGCUCCAGCUGUUUCACUGGAGCCCAUAGGUGAUGUCUCAAAGUGUGGUCAACUUGUCCUAGAGUUUAUACUGUUGGUGCUAUGAUGGACACCCAAGACUUCAACUCUGGAACCUCAGGGAUGCCUCUUCAGCCAAGCUAUGUCCUCCAAAGUCCAUUAGGGCGUCUCCUCAGAGAAAUUGUGUGUGUAGUCAGAGGACCUAUUCCCCACAUCCUAGUCUUGUUUGACCAUUCCCUGGCCUUCUUUUUGCUUCUAACGUCUUUCAUACUUAUAGAGUCUGUGGGCUCUUAUCCCUACAACUUACAACUCAACUUCCGUCCCAUCAUCCAAAGACCUGUGCCAAGGUCUACUUCUCUGGAGUUCUCUCUGUCGACAAAGCGCACCACUAGCUCCCAGUGAGCCAAGCCUGAAGACUAAGGAUUCCCCAGAUCCCCCUUCACUCACUCUCAGUGUCACAGAUGCUUCUUUCCUUACAGUCUUCCCUCCUGUCCUUUCUCACUGCCACCACCCUGCUGCAGCCUCUCCUGGCUUCUCACCUCCAACCCACGGCUGCCUCCUCGUUGUUCUCGCUCCUUCCAGUUCAGCCGGAUGUCGCCUCACAGGAUUUUCCAGUUCUCUUCAGGUCACUCCCUGCCUUGAACCCUCCAGUGGCCACCAAAACAAGGAAGGAAACCUAGAGAGGGUGAGAGGUUAAGGCUGAGGAAACCAGGAAUCUGCCACUAGAGGCAAGCACUCCUCAGCUCUGCACACAAGGUCUUUGUGAUGUUGUUCUGGCCACAUCUCCCACCACUGUCCACUCCCCACCUUUUGCUCCAGACAGGUGGAGCCACCUGCAGCUCCCCAUAAGCGUGCUUCACAAUGCAGGGCAAGCGUCCCCUCCUCCAGGAAGCCUUCCCCCAUGCCCUAAGUGUGACUCAGAGAUUUCUUUCCAUCCCUGCAUGUGCAGCUUUGUGGUAGCUCCUGUCACACAGUUUCAUAAAUGUUUGUUUACUUCUUCAAGUUAACGACUCAGUGUGCGCUCCUCAAGCUUAGAAAUGAUGGCCUAUUCAUCUUCAAAUCCCAACCUCUAGUGUCGCGUCUGGCCCGCAGAAGGAAAAUGAAGGCCUGACUGCAUUGACUUUUUGGAUGCAUUUCCUAGAUGAGUCCUAUUUCUAGGUGGCCUCACAAGAAAUAAAAACAUGUCCAGCUUGUUCCGGAUGCUCAUAUC